GAUGAACGCUGGCGGCGUGCCUAAUACAUGCAAGUCGAGCGAACAGACGAGGAGCUUGCUCCUCUGACGUUAGCGGCGGACGGGUGAGUAACACGUGGAUAACCUACCUAUAAGACUGGGAUAACUUCGGGAAACCGGAGCUAAUACCGGAUAAUAUAUUGAACCGCAUGGUUCAAUAGUGAAAGACGGUUUUGCUGUCACUUAUAGAUGGAUCCGCGCCGCAUUAGCUAGUUGGUAAGGUAACGGCUGACCAAGGCGACGAUGCGUAGCCGACCUGAGAGGGUGAUCGGCCACACUGGAACUGAGACACGGUCCAGACUCCUACGGGAGGCAGCAGUAGGGAAUCUUCCGCAAUGGGCGAAAGCCUGACGGAGCAACGCCGCGUGAGUGAUGAAGGUCUUCGGAUCGUAAAACUCUGUUAUUAGGGAAGAACAAAUGUGUAAGUAACUAUGCACGUCUUGACGGUACCUAAUCAGAAAGCCACGGCUAACUACGUG
rnacentral:rRNA from 1 species